rnacentral:rRNA from 1 species
UUUUGCUCCCAUGUCACCCUGCAAUUCACAUCUGGCAACGCACUGAAGCUAAGCAGGUGUGAGCCUGGUCAGUACCUGAAGGGGAGACCUCCUGGGAAAAACUAAGGUUGCUGCUGGAA